CCCACCCUGAAAUCGGAAAAAAUAGAAAAGGAAAAGGAAAAGCUCUCGAUCUAGGGAUCUCCGUACGCGCAUGCGCCGCACCUUCUCUGUGCUGAUGUCUCAUCGGUACAGAGCGGGGAGGGCCAUGCCGUCCCGUCGGGGCAUGGAGCACGCGAGCCUUGUCCCUCGCCUAUGUUUACUACCGGCGCCGAGAUAAGUGCCUCUUCCUCCCUAUGCAUCUGCUCCAUCUGGUUCACACCCUCCUUAUCCCACCCCUGUUCCAAACCCUAGGUCUGUGGUUUCCUCUCUUCGUCCCUCUAUCUGCUGUGAGAUCAGUGAGCUCUCACGUUCUCACCCUUGGCUUCCACUUUUGAGCUCAGUGUCUACCUUGCCAUGGCCUGAUAUCUGAAUUUUGCUGUGUUCGUAGAGGUGCUACGCUGGCGAUGGUUUCCUUGACCUGAGAUCAGGAUAGGGUCGGAGAUACGAACAGAUUUUACUCUUCCUGGUGCCUGCAGUGAGGAUCGUGAAUCGCAGCAACAUGAUUAAAGCUUUUCCAGUCUACUGGAACCUGGCAUACUGCAACCAAGACACAGAAAAGUGUCACAAGGAAGAGGUCCUGCAACUCACCUAACAAGGAAAUCGUCAAGAUGCUACUCCUGGAUGGAGUCACUGGAAAUGCAUAUGAUGGUUGUGCAGAGGCUGCUGCUAAGCCUAGUCCAUGCGCUGAUGUUUAGGAGGAACAAGGGGAUGCACUCAUUUUGUCUUUACCCGUUUGCAGCCAAUCGUCUACCUACAUGUGAUUGUCUGCUGCUCGAUGUUUGACAUUCGGCCUUUGAAAAAACUUGAUGCUCUGAGAAUCAAUUAUGUAUUUUGGAUACUUUGUGGCUGUAAACUGUGUGAUAGGCUGCUUCCUCCUCUUUUAGUAUGAUGAGACUGUUUUAGUACUCUAUUUGCUUAUUUGGAUCGGUAUUCCAAGGCACUAACUAAUUUGUUGAUAGCUAGGAAUGCGGAUUAGAACAUGUAAUAUAUGACUAGACAGAACUCCAGAGACUGUGGGAGCCACGUGGUCAGCAAUAUCAGCACGGUCAGCAUUAUUAACACUAUUAGGAUAUUCUGUUACUAUUUGUUCUUCUAAAUAGGCUAUUUGCAUGAGACAUUUGCUAUAAAUUUGUUCUUCUGAGU